rnacentral:rRNA from 1 species
UACGUAGGGUGCAAGCGUUUAAUCGGAAUUACUGGGCGUAAAGGGCGCGUAGGCGGCCAACUAAGUCAGACGUGAAAUCCCUCGGCUCAACCGGGGAACUGCGUCUGAUACUGGAUGGCUUGAAUUCGGGAGAGGGAUGCGGAAUUCCAGGUGUAGCGGUGAAAUGCGUAGAUAUCGAGAGGGAAACACCCUGCGGGCGAAGGCGGGUUGCUGGGCUGACACUGACGCUGAGGCGCGAAAGCUAGGGGAGCGAACGGG